UACGUAGGGGGCAAGCGUUGUCCGGAAUCAUUGGGCGUAAAGCGCGUGUAGGCGGCCCGAUAAGUCCGCUGUGAAAGUCCAGGGCUCAACCCUGGAAUGCCGGUGGAUACUGUCGGGCUCGAGUCCGGAAGAGGCGAGUGGAAUUCCUGGUGUAGCGGUGAAAUGACGCAGAUAUCAGGAGGAACACCGAUGGCGAAGGCAGCUCGCUGGGACGGUACUGACGCUGAGACGCGAAAGCGUGGGGAGCAAACAGG
rnacentral:rRNA from 1 species